GAUGAACGCUGGCGGCGUGCUUAACACAUGCAAGUCGAACGAAACACCUUAUUUGAUUUUCUUCGGAACUGAAGAUUUGGUGAUUGAGUGGCGGACGGGUGAGUAACGCGUGGGUAACCUGCCCUGUACAGGGGGAUAACAGUCAGAAAUGACUGCUAAUACCGCAUAAGACCACAGCACCGCAUGGUGCAGGGGUAAAAACUCCGGUGGUACAGGAUGGACCCGCGUCUGAUUAGCUGGUUGGUGAGGUAACGGCUCACCAAGGCGACGAUCAGUAGCCGGCUUGAGAGAGUGAACGGCCACAUUGGGACUGAGACACGGCCCAAACUCCUACGGGAGGCAGCAGUGGGGAAUAUUGCACAAUGGGGGAAACCCUGAUGCAGCGACGCCGCGUGAGUGAAGAAGUAUUUCGGUAUGUAAAGCUCUAUCAGCAGGGAAGAAAAUGACGGUACCUGACUAAGAAGC
rnacentral:rRNA from 1 species